UCUGUUGUGGUCUAGUGGUUAGGAUUUGCGGAUAUCACAUGCAAGGUUCGGGAUCGAUUCUCGGCAAUGGAA
rfam:Angiostrongylus costaricensis strain Costa Rica genome assembly, scaffold: ACOC_scaffold0002540